rnacentral:rRNA from 1 species
UAAGGAAUAUUGGUCAAUGGACGCAAGUCUGAACCAGCUAUGCCGCGUGAAGGAUUAAGGUCCUCUGGAUUGUAAACUUCUUUUAUCUGGGACGAAAAAAGGUCUUUCUAGACCCCUUGACGGUACCAGAUGAAUAAGCACCGGCUAACUCCGUGCCAGCAGCCGCGGUAAUACGUAGGGACCGAGUGUUGUCCGGAAUCAUUGGGCGUAAAGAGCGUGUAGGCGGCUUGGUAGGUCUCGUGUGAAAUCCCGCGGCUCAACCGCGGACCCGCACGGGAAACCCCCAAGCUCGAGUCCGGAAGAGGAGAGUGGAAUUCCUGGUGUAGCGGUGGAAUGCGCAGAUAUCAGGAGGAACACCAAUGGCGAAGGCAGGUCUCUGGGCCAAUACUGACACUGAGGAGCGAGAGCGUGGGGAGCGAACAGG